rnacentral:tRNA from 1 species
CCCCCGAUAGCUCAGUCGGUCAGAGCAGCGGACUCAUAAUCCGUCGGUCCUGGGUUCAAGUCCCAGUCGGGGGA